rnacentral:tRNA from 1 species
UGGCUGAGCGGUAAAGCGCUUGGCUUCCGAACUGGUGGUCCGGGUUCAAAUCCUGG